CGGCGAUGUCCGAAUGGGGAAACCCAGUGCAAUUCGUUGCACUAUCGUUAACUGAAUACAUAGGUUAACGAGGCGAACCGGGGGAACUGAAACAUCUAAGUACCCCGAGGAAAAGAAAUCAACCGAGAUUCCCCCAGUAGCGGCGAGCGAACGGGGAGCAGCCCAGAGUCUGAAUCAGCUUGUGUGUUAGUGGAACGGUCUGGAAAGUCCGACGGUACAGGGUGAUAGUCCCGUACACCAAAAUGCACAGGCUGUGAACUCGAAGAGUAGGGCGGGACACGUGGUAUCCUGUCUGAAUAUGGGGGGACCAUCCUCCAAGGCUAAAUACUCCUGACUGACCGAUAGUGAACCAGUACCGUGAGGGAAAGGCGAAAAGAACCCCGGCGAGGGGAGUGAAAAAGAACCUGAAACCGUGUACGUACAAGCAGUGGGAGCACCUUCGGGUGUGACUGCGUACCUUUUGUAUAAUGGGUCAGCGACUUAUAUUCUGUAGCAAGGUUAACCGUAUAGGGGAGCCGCAGGGAAACCGAGUCUUAACUGGGCGUUAAGUUGCAGGGUAUAGACCCGAAACCCGGUGAUCUAGCCAUGGGCAGGUUGAAGGUUGGGUAACACUAACUGGAGGACCGAACCGACUAAUGUUGAAAAAUUAGCGGAUGACUUGUGGCUGGGGGUGAAAGGCCAAUCAAACCGGGAGAUAGCUGGUUCUCCCCGAAAGCUAUUUAGGUAGCGCCUCGUGAACUCAUCUUCGGGGGUAGAGCACUGUUUCGGCUAGGGGGUCAUCCCGACUUACCAACCCGAUGCAAACUACGAAUACCGAAGAAUGUUAUCACGGGAGACACACGGCGGGUGCUAACGUCCGUCGUGAAGAGGGAAACAACCCAGACCGCCAGCUAAGGUCCCAAAGUCAUGGUUAAGUGGGAAACGAUGUGGGAAGGCACAGACAGCCAGGAUGUUGGCUUAGAAGCAGCCAUCAUUUAAAGAAAGCGUAAUAGCUCACUGGUCGAGUCGGCCUGCGCGGAAGAUGUAACGGGGCUAAACCAUGCACCGAAGCUGCGGCAGCGACACUAUGUGUUGUUGGGUAGGGGAGCGUUCUGUAAGCCUGCGAAGGUGUGCUGUGAGGCAUGCUGGAGGUAUCAGAAGUGCGAAUGCUGACAUAAGUAACGAUAAAGCGGGUGAAAAGCCCGCUCGCCGGAAGACCAAGGGUUCCUGUCCAACGUUAAUCGGGGCAGGGUGAGUCGACCCCUAAGGCGAGGCCGAAAGGCGUAGUCGAUGGGAAACAGGUUAAUAUUCCUGUACUUGGUGUUACUGCGAAGGGGGGACGGAGAAGGCUAUGUUAGCCGGGCGACGGUUGUCCCGGUUUAAGCAUGUAGGCUGAUUGUCCAGGCAAAUCCGGAUAAUCAAGGCUGAGGUGUGAUGACGAGGCACUACGGUGCUGAAGUAACAAAUGCCCUGCUUCCAGGAAAAGCCUCUAAGCAUCAGGUAACAUUAAAUCGUACCCCAAACCGACACAGGUGGUCAGGUAGAGAAUACCAAGGCGCUUGAGAGAACUCGGGUGAAGGAACUAGGCAAAAUGGUGCCGUAACUUCGGGAGAAGGCACGCUGGUGUGUAGGUGAAGUCCCUGCGGAUGGAGCUGAGACCAGUCGAAGAUACCAGCUGGCUGCAACUGUUUAUUAAAAACACAGCACUGUGCAAACACGAAAGUGGACGUAUACGGUGUGACGCCUGCCCGGUGCCGGAAGGUUAAUUGAUGGGGUUAUCCGUAAGGAGAAGCUCUUGAUCGAAGCCCCGGUAAACGGCGGCCGUAACUAUAACGGUCCUAAGGUAGCGAAAUUCCUUGUCGGGUAAGUUCCGACCUGCACGAAUGGCGUAAUGAUGGCCAGGCUGUCUCCACCCGAGACUCAGUGAAAUUGAACUCGCUGUGAAGAUGCAGUGUACCCGCGGCAAGACGGAAAGACCCCGUGAACCUUUACUAUAGCUUGACACUGAACAUUGAGCCUUGAUGUGUAGGAUAGGUGGGAGGCUUUGAAGCGUGGACGCCAGUCUGCGUGGAGCCAACCUUGAAAUACCACCCUUUAAUGUUUGAUGUUCUAACGUUGGCCCCUUACCGGGGUUGCGGACAGUGUCUGGUGGGUAGUUUGACUGGGGCGGUCUCCUCCCAAAGCGUAACGGAGGAGCACGAAGGUUAGCUAAUCCUGGUCGGACAUCAGGAGGUUAGUGCAAUGGCAUAAGCUAGCUUGACUGCGAGCGUGACGGCGCGAGCAGGUGCGAAAGCAGGUCAUAGUGAUCCGGUGGUUCUGAAUGGAAGGGCCAUCGCUCAACGGAUAAAAGGUACUCCGGGGAUAACAGGCUGAUACCGCCCAAGAGUUCAUAUCGACGGCGGUGUUUGGCACCUCGAUGUCGGCUCAUCACAUCCUGGGGCUGAAGUAGGUCCCAAGGGUAUGGCUGUUCGCCAUUUAAAGUGGUACGCGAGCUGGGUUUAGAACGUCGUGAGACAGUUCGGUCCCUAUCUGCCGUGGGCGCUGGAGAAUUGAGGGGGGCUGCUCCUAGUACGAGAGGACCGGAGUGGACGCAUCACUGGUGUUCGGGUUGUCAUGCCAAUGGCACUGCCCGGUAGCUAAAUGCGGAAGAGAUAAGUGCUGAAAGCAUCUAAGCACGAAACUUGCCCCGAGAUGAGUUCUCCCUGAGACUUUAAGUCUCCUGAAGGAACGUUAAAGACGAUGACGUUGAUAGGCCGGGUGUGUAAGCGCAGCGAUGCGUUGAGCUAACCGGUACUAAUGAACCGUGAGGCUUAACCUU
rnacentral:rRNA from 1 species